UCUCUCCUCAAAACAUCGUCUCCUCUCGCUUUCUCUCUUUCUCUCUUCCCAUAUCGCUCUUCUCUCCUAUCGUCUCCACAAUCCCUUCCUCCAUCUACAUCUACAUCACCGCCGAGAUUAGGGUUCUAUUAUCUUGACUCAGCUGUCACUAAGUUCCAUUCGUGAAGAAGAUAAGGAUUCUGUGUACUGGGAAGAGGGAGGAGGUUCUUCGAGAUCUGCUGAAGAUUAGGGUUCUUCGAUCUCUGGGUUUAUAAUGUCGAUUUGGGGAUUUGUAGUCUACUCGAUUUGGGGGUUUCACGACAAUUUGAUUUGUGGGGAUUUGUGGGCUACUGGAUUUGGGGAUUUGUGGGUACUCGAUUUCCUCAUAUCCACUUCCUUUCUCCUUCAUCUCUCUCUCAUGGUGGUUGCACAUGGCGAGCGAGCAAGCGCUGAUCCUCAUCCACAAGUGCAAGCUUUAGAGUGUCCUAUAACAUGUCGCAACCAUCACUAAGGACGUCAAGGACUCUGAAUUCUUCAGCUUCAUCACCAUGUUUAGGGCCAGCGAUAAGUGUUAGAAGGAGAAGAGGAAGACAAUUAAUGGUGAUGAUUUGCUGUGAGUGAUGGUUUCCCUUCUCUCACUUUCUCACAAUUUCUUCUCCAAAGGGUAUUUGUCUGUGAGCCCAAGUCAGAGGUCAGUUUGUCGCUCUGUGGUUUGUGAGGCUGCUCCAACCAAGAGGCUUGAUUAUGUUGAAAAGGGAGCUCGCCAGGUUGAGAAAAGGCGCAUUUACAACAAGUCCAAAAAGUCUGAGAUCAAAACCAGGUUG